rnacentral:rRNA from 1 species
GUGGGGAAUAUUGGACAAUGGGCGCAAGCCUGAUCCAGCCAUGCCGCGUGAGUGAUGAAGGCCUUAGGGUUGUAAAGCUCUUUCAGUGGGGACGAUAAUGACGGUACCCACAGAAGAAGCCCCGGCUAACUUCGUGCCAGCAGCCGCGGUAAUACGAAGGGGGCUAGCGUUGUUCGGAUUUACUGGACGUAAAGCGCACGUAGGCGGAUCGUUAAGUCGGGGGUGAAAUCCUGGAGCUCAACUCCAGAACUGCCUUCUAUACUGGCGAGCUUGAGUCCGGAAGAGGUGAGUGGAACUCCUAGUGUAGAGGUGGAAUUCGUAGAUAUUAGGAAGAACACCAGUGGCGAAGGCGGCUCACUGGUCCGGUACUGACGCUGAGGUGCGAAAGCGUGGGGAGCAAACAGGAUUAGAAACCCCGGUAGUCC